CAUAAUAUAUAUCCAAAUAUUUACAUAUGUGUAGAUAGUUUUAUCUAUUUAUAUACAACAACCAUAAUCAUUCUCAACGAGUUUUCAUAUUUCAAAAUCGUUCCAUGAUGUUAUCUAUAUUAUUGAAAAAAAUUAUUAAACUCGAGAAAGAAUUACUAAAAAAAUUGCAAGCCCUAAAACUCAAGUAUGAGGUAGGGUAGAGUAGAAACAAAUAAAAGUGUAUAGAGAAUAACCAGGGUUUUACAAACCUUAUUGUUCUUUGUCCAAUAAAUUUGGGA
rnacentral:lncRNA from 1 species